UACGUAGGGUGCGAGCGUUGUCCGGAAUUAUUGGGCGUAAAGAGCUUGUAGGCGGUUUGUCGCGUCUGCCGUGAAAAUUCGAGGCUCAACCUCGAACUUGCGGUGGGUACGGGCAGACUAGAGUGUGGUAGGGGAGACUGGAAUUCCUGGUGUAGCGGUGAAAUGCGCAGAUAUCAGGAGGAACACCGAUGGCGAAGGCAGGUCUCUGGGCCACUACUGACGCUGAGAGACGAAAGCUAGGGGAGCAAAUGGG
rnacentral:rRNA from 1 species